CGUUUGCGUGAGGGAUUGAAGUGGAGCUCUUUUUUUAUCCCAUUUUUUUUGGGAUAAAAAAAAGCGGGAACGGAAAGCCCGACCCGAC
rnacentral:sRNA from 1 species